UACGUAGGGGGCUAGCGUUGUCCGGAAUCAUUGGGCGUAAAGCGCGUGUAGGCGGUCCGGUAAGUCCGCUGUGAAAGUCGGGGGCUCAACCCUCGGAUGCCGGUGGAUACUGUCGGGCUUGAGUACGGAAGAGGCGAGUGGAAUUCCUGGUGUAGCGGUGAAAUGCGCAGAUAUCAGGAAGAACACCAAUGGCGAAAGCAGCUUUCUGGGACGGUACUGACGCUGAGACGCGAAAGCGUGGGGAGCGAACAGG
rnacentral:rRNA from 1 species